rnacentral:rRNA from 1 species
GACGAACGCUGGCGGCGCGCCUAACACAUGCAAGUCGAACGAGCGAGAGAGAGCUUGCUUUCUUGAGCGAGUGGCGAACGGGUGAGUAACGCGUGAGGAACCUGCCUCAAAGAGGGGGACAACAGUUGGAAACGACUGCUAAUACCGCAUAAGCCCACGGUGCCGCAUGGCACAGAGGGAAAAGGAGCAAUCCGCUUUGAGAUGGCCUCGCGUCCGAUUAGCUAGUUGGUGAGGUAACGGCCCACCAAGGCGACGAUCGGUAGCCGGACUGAGAGGUUGAACGGCCACAUUGGGACUGAGACACGGCCCAGACUCCUACGGGAGGCAGCAGUGGGGAAUAUUGCACAAUGGGGGAAACCCUGAUGCAGCGACGCCGCGUGGAGGAAGAAGGUCUUCGAAUUGUAAACUCCUGUUGUUGGGGAAGAUAAUGACGGUACCCAACAAGGAAGUGACGGCUAACUACGUG